UAGCUAGUUGGUGAGGUAACGGCUUACCAAGACGACGAUCUGUAGCGGGUCUGAGAGGAUGAUCCGCCACACUGGAACUGAGACACGGUCCAGACUCCUACGGGAGGCAGCAGUGGGGAAUUUUGGACAAUGGGGGCAACCCUGAUCCAGCCAUGCCGCGUGAGUGAAGAAGGCCUUCGGGUUGUAAAGCUCUUUCGGCCGGGAAGAAAUCGCAUGGGCCAAUACCCUGUGUGGAUGACGGUACCGGAAUAAGAAGCACCGGCUAACUACGUGCCAGCAGCCGCGGUAAUACGUAGGGUGCGAGCGUUAAUCGGAAUUACUGGGCGUAAAGCGUGCGCAGGCGGUUUUGUAAGACAGGCGUGAAAUCCCCGGGCUCAACCUGGGAACUGCGUUCGUGACUGCAAGGCUAGAGUACGGCAGAGGGGGGUGGAAUUCCACGUGUAGCAGUGAAAUGCGUAGAGAUGUGGAGGAACACCAAUGGCGAAGGCAGCCCCCUGGGUCGAUACUGACGCUCAUGCACGAAAGCGUGGGUAGCAAACAGGAUUAGAUACCCUGGUAGUCCACGCCCUAAACUAUGUCAACUAGGUGUUGGGUGGGUAAAACCAUUUAGUACCGUAGCUAACGCGUGAAGUUGACCGCCUGGGGAGUACGGCCGCAAGGUUAAAACUCAAAGGAAUUGACGGGGACCCGCACAAGCGGUGGAUGAUGUGGAUUAAUUCGAUGCAACGCGAAAAACCUUACCUACCCUUGACAUGCCAGGAACUUGCCAGAGAUGGCUUGGUGCCCGAAAGGGAGCCUGAACACAGGUGCUGCAUGGCUGUCGUCAGCUCGUGUCGUGAGAUGUUGGGUUAAGUCCCGCAACGAGCGCAACCCUUGUCGUUAAUUGCCAUCAUUUAGUUGGGCACUUUAGCGAGACUGCCGGUGACAAACCGGAGGAAGGUGGGGAUGACGUCAAGUCCUCAUGGCCCUUAUGGGUAGGGCUUCACACGUCAUACAAUGGUCGGUACAGAGGGUCGCCAAGCCGCGAGGUGGAGCCAAUCCCAGAAAGCCGAUCGUAGUCCGGAUUGCAGGCUGCAACUCGCCUGCAUGAAGUCGGAAUCGCUAGUAAUCGUGGAUCAGCAUGUCACGGUGAAUACGUUCCCGGGUCUUGUACACACCGCCCGUCACACCAUGGGAGCGGGUUCCGCCAGAAGUAGGUAGCCUAACCGCAAGGAGGGCGCUUACCACGGCGGGGUUCGUGACUGGGGUGAAGUCGAACAAGGUAGCCGUAGGGGAACCUGCGGCUG
rnacentral:rRNA from 1 species